rnacentral:rRNA from 1 species
GCUGGUGCAUCGGUUGUCACGCCAGUGGCACGGCCGAGCAGCUAUGUGCGGAAUGGAUAAACGCUGAAAGCAUCUAAGCGUGAAGCCAACUCCAAGAUAAGAUAUCCCACAGCAAAAGCUGGUAAGACCCCUUUUAGACUAAGAGGUUGAUAGGCUGCAUGUGUAAGCACAGCGAUGUGUUUAGCUAGGCAGUACUAAUAGGUCGAGGGCUUGACUUU